rnacentral:rRNA from 1 species
UACGUAGGGUGCAAGCGUUAAUCGGAAUUACUGGGCGUAAAGCGUGCGCAGGCGGUUGUGCAAGACCGAUGUGAAAUCCCCGGGCUCAACCUGGGAAUUGCGUUGGAGACUGCAAGGCUAGAAUCUGGCAGAGGGGGGUAGAAUUCCACGUGUAGCAGUGAAAUGCGUAGAGAUGUGGAGGAACACCGAUGGCGAAGGCAGCCCCCUGGGUCAAGAUUGACGCUCAUGCACGAAAGCGUGGGGAGCAAACAGG